AGGCCACGUGUCGGUGGCCUUUGCAUCCCACCCCUGUGUGCUUGCCCAGCCUGCUGCGUGUCCCUUUGGGAGCUGGCAGUAAUGGGGAAGGUUGAAGGCGUCUGCUGUGGCGUCUCCUGAAGACAAAGGGGUCGGUCAUCUCUGUCAUCAUCCUGAAAUGGUGUAAGGGGAUCCUGCCAAGCCCAUGACUCUGUAAGACGAUGGUGCCAAAGCCAGACACUGCGUCAGCAACCAGCCAUGGGGUGACUGGAGGAUCCCAGGCUCCUGACUGUUCCCUGAUAGCCUGAGCAGCUGCUCUGCCAGCACUGGCAAAGCUCGGGUCACAAUCCUCCCAGACUAAAAUAACAAAAAACCAGUAACAUACAGGUUCACCCUCUGGAUUCUGCAAGGGUUUGGGAAGAGGCCUGUCAGGGCUCUUGUGAGCUGUACAUUAUGGUAGAGUUCAGCACCAAAAAUGGACUAUUUUCCAAUAUGAUUACGGCAAUGAAGACGUUACUCACUCUGCCUUACUCACUGAUUGCAAGUUCAAAACUGCUGGACUUCCACUGGGUAUUAGCUCUGUUAAAAAAAUGGUAUUUAUUUACCAGAGUGCCUUUGGAUAUAAGAGGUCCACAGUUCCAAGGAAUAGAUUUUCAACAUAAAAUUACACACCAAGAGCAAAUACAACAAACCCUAAUAUCAGUAUCAGUGUCACUAGUGACCUAGUCUGCUG
ensembl:lncRNA